CACUAUCGUUAACUGAAUACAUAGGUUAACGAGGCGAACCGGGGGAACUGAAACAUCUAAGUACCCCGAGGAAAAGAAAUCAACCGAGAUUCCCCCAGUAGCGGCGAGCGAACGGGGAGCAGCCCAGAGUCUGAAUCAGCUUGUGUGUUAGUGGAACGGUCUGGAAAGUCCGACGGUACAGGGUGAUAGUCCCGUACACCAAAAUGCACAGGCUGUGAACUCGAAGAGUAGGGCGGGACACGUGGUAUCCUGUCUGAAUAUGGGGGGACCAUCCUCCAAGGCUAAAUACUCCUGACUGACCGAUAGUGAACCAGUACCGUGAGGGAAAGGCGAAAAGAACCCCGGCGAGGGGAGUGAAAAAGAACCUGAAACCGUGUACGUACAAGCAGUGGGAGCACCUUCGGGUGUGACUGCGUACCUUUUGUAUAAUGGGUCAGCGACUUAUAUUCUGUAGCAAGGUUAACCGUAUAGGGGAGCCGCAGGGAAACCGAGUCUUAACUGGGCGUUAAGUUGCAGGGUAUAGACCCGAAACCCGGUGAUCUAGCCAUGGGCAGGUUGAAGGUUGGGUAACACUAACUGGAGGACCGAACCGACUAAUGUUGAAAAAUUAGCGGAUGACUUGUGGCUGGGGGUGAAAGGCCAAUCAAACCGGGAGAUAGCUGGUUCUCCCCGAAAGCUAUUUAGGUAGCGCCUCGUGAACUCAUCUUCGGGGGUAGAGCACUGUUUCGGCUAGGGGGUCAUCCCGACUUACCAACCCGAUGCAAACUACGAAUACCGAAGAAUGUUAUCACGGGAGACACACGGCGGGUGCUAACGUCCGUCGUGAAGAGGGAAACAACCCAGACCGCCAGCUAAGGUCCCAAAGUCAUGGUUAAGUGGGAAACGAUGUGGGAAGGCACAGACAGCCAGGAUGUUGGCUUAGAAGCAGCCAUCAUUUAAAGAAAGCGUAAUAGCUCACUGGUCGAGUCGGCCUGCGCGGAAGAUGUAACGGGGCUAAACCAUGCACCGAAGCUGCGGCAGCGACACUAUGUGUUGUUGGGUAGGGGAGCGUUCUGUAAGCCUGCGAAGGUGUGCUGUGAGGCAUGCUGGAGGUAUCAGAAGUGCGAAUGCUGACAUAAGUAACGAUAAAGCGGGUGAAAAGCCCGCUCGCCGGAAGACCAAGGGUUCCUGUCCAACGUUAAUCGGGGCAGGGUGAGUCGACCCCUAAGGCGAGGCCGAAAGGCGUAGUCGAUGGGAAACAGGUUAAUAUUCCUGUACUUGGUGUUACUGCGAAGGGGGGACGGAGAAGGCUAUGUUAGCCGGGCGACGGUUGUCCCGGUUUAAGCAUGUAGGCUGGUUAUCCAGGCAAAUCCGGAUAAUCAAGGCUGAGGUGUGAUGACGAGGCACUACGGUGCUGAAGUAACAAAUGCCCUGCUUCCAGGAAAAGCCUCUAAGCAUCAGGUAACAUCAAAUCGUACCCCAAACCGACACAGGUGGUCAGGUAGAGAAUACCAAGGCGCUUGAGAGAACUCGGGUGAAGGAACUAGGCAAAAUGGUGCCGUAACUUCGGGAGAAGGCACGCUGGUGUGUAGGUGAAGCCCCUGCGGGUGGAGCUGAGACCAGUCGAAGAUACCAGCUGGCUGCAACUGUUUAUUAAAAACACAGCACUGUGCAAACACGAAAGUGGACGUAUACGGUGUGACGCCUGCCCGGUGCCGGAAGGUUAAUUGAUGGGGUUAUCCGUAAGGAGAAGCUCUUGAUCGAAGCCCCGGUAAACGGCGGCCGUAACUAUAACGGUCCUAAGGUAGCGAAAUUCCUUGUCGGGUAAGUUCCGACCUGCACGAAUGGCGUAAUGAUGGCCAGGCUGUCUCCACCCGAGACUCAGUGAAAUUGAACUCGCUGUGAAGAUGCAGUGUACCCGCGGCAAGACGGAAAGACCCCGUGAACCUUUACUAUAGCUUGACACUGAACAUUGAGCCUUGAUGUGUAGGAUAGGUGGGAGGCUUUGAAGCGUGGACGCCAGUCUGCGUGGAGCCAACCUUGAAAUACCACCCUUUAAUGUUUGAUGUUCUAACGUUGGCCCCU
rnacentral:rRNA from 1 species